rnacentral:rRNA from 1 species
CAGCUCUUCAAGUGGUCGGGACUAUUAUUGGGCCUAAAGCAUCCGUAGCCGGCUCUGUAAGUUUUCGGUUAAAUCUGUACGCUCAACGUACAGGCUGCCGGGAAUACUGCAGAGCUAGGGAGUGGGAGAGGUAGACGGUACUCGGUAGGAAGGGGUAAAAUCCUUUGAUCUAUUGAUGACCACCUGUGGCGAAGGCGGUCUACCAGAACACGUCCGACGGUGAGGGAUGAAAGCUGGGGGAGCAAACCGGAUUAGAGACCCGAGUAGUCC